rnacentral:rRNA from 1 species
CGCAAGCGGGUGGCGAACGGCUGAGUAAUACGUAGGAAUCUACCUCUAAGUAAGGCAUAGCCCGCCGAAAGGCGGGGUAAUUCCUUAUGUGAUGGCAACAUCAAAGAUUUAUCGCUUAGAGAUGAGCCUACGGCCUAUCAGGUAGUUGGUUGGGUAAAUGCCUACCAAGCCUAUGACGGGUAGCUGGUAUAAGAGUAUGACCAGCCAGAGGGGCACUGAGACACGGGCCUCACCCCUACGGGGGGCAGCAAUCGGGAAUUUUGCGCAAUGGGCGAAAGCCUGACGCAGCGACGCCGCGUGAAGGAUUAAGGCCUUCGGGUUGUAAACUUCGUUGUAAGCACCGGCUAACUACGUGCCAGCAGCAGCGGUCAUACGUAGGGUGCAAGCAUUACCCGGUCUUAUUGGGCGUAAAGAGUUCUGUAGGCGGUUGAACAAGUUGGAAGUUAAAUACCUCGGCUCAACCGAGGUAGGGCUUUCAAUACUGUUUGGCUAAGAGGUGACUAGGGGAUAGCGGAACGCAUGGUGUAGCAGUGAAAUGCGUUGAUAUCAUGCGGAACACCAAGGGGGAAGCCAGCUAUCUGGGGUUAUCCUGACGCUGAGAGACGAAAGCGUGGGGAGCGAAACGGAUUAGAUACCCGUGUAGUCCACGCUGUAAACCAUGCCUGCUAGAUGCUCCGUUUUCGGAGUGUCGAAGCUAACGCGUUAAGCAGGCCGCCUGGGAAGUACGAUCGCAAGAUUAAAACUCAAAGGAAUUGGCGGGGACCCGCACAAGCGGUGGAGCAUGCUCUUUAAUUGGCUGAUAACCCAAGAACCUUACCAGGGCUUGACAUGCAUAAAGUAGUGAACCGAAAGGGGAACGACCGGUAUCCAGUCCGGAGUUUGCACAGGUGUUGCAUGGCUGUCGUCAGUUCGUACCGUGAGGCGUACCCUUAAGUGGGUUAACGAACGCAACCCCUACUGUCAGUUGUAUCACUCUGACGGAACUGCCUCGGUAACGAGGAGGAAGGUGGGGAUGACGUCAAGUCAGUAUUGCUCUUACGCUCUGGGCUAGAAGCAUGCUACAAUGGGGUCGACAGCGCGAAGCGAAGAGGCGACUCGGAGCAAAUCGCUAAACGACCUCUCAGUUCGGAUUGGAGUCUGCAACUCGACUCCAUGAAGUUGGAAUCGCUAGUA